rnacentral:rRNA from 1 species
AGGGGCUUGCGCCACAUUAGUUAGUUGGUAGAGUAAAAGCCUACCAAGACGAUGAUGUGUAGCUGGACUGAGAGGUUGAACAGCCACAUUGGGACUGAGACACGGCCCAAACUCCUACGGGAGGCAGCAGUAGGGAAUUUUCGGCAAUGGAGGAAACUCUGACCGAGCAACGCCGCGUGAACGAUGAAGUAUUUCGGUAUGUAAAGUUCUUUUAUUGAAGAAGAAAAAAUAGUGGAAAAACUAUAUUGACGUUAUUCAAUGAAUAAGCCCCGGCUAACUAUGUGCCAGCAGCCGCGGUAAGACAUAGGGGGCGAGCGUUAUCCGGAAUUAUUGGGCGUAAAGGGUGCGUAGGCUGUUAGAUAAGUCUAUAAUUUAAUUUCAGUGCUUAACGCUGUCUUGUUAUAGAAACUGUCUUGACUAGAGUGAGAUAGAGGCAAGCGGAAUUCCAUGUGUAGCGGUAAAAUGUGUAAAUAUAUGGAGGAACACCAGAAGCGUAGGCGGCUUGCUGGGUCUUUACUGACGCUGAGGCACGAAAGCGUGGGUAGCAAACAGGAUUAGAUACCCUGGUAGUCCACGCCGUAAACGAUGAGUACUAAGUGUCGGGGUAAAACUCGGUACUGAAGUUAACACAUUAAGUACUCCGCCUGAGUAGUACGUACGCAAGUAUGAAACUUAAAGGAAUUGACGGGACUCCGCACAAGCGGUGGAUCAUGUUGUUUAAUUCGAAGAUACACGAAAAAUCUUACCAGGUCUUGACAUACUCUGCAAAGCUAUAGAAAUAUAGUGGAGGUUAUCAGGGAUACAGGUGGUGCAUGGUUGUCGUCAGUUCGUGUCGUGAGAUGUUAGGUUAAGUCCUAAAACGAGCGCAACCCUUGUCGUUAAUUGCCAGCACGUAAUGGUGGGGACUUUAACGAGACUGCCAAUUAAACAUUGGAGGAAGGCGAGGAUUACGUCAAAUCAUCAUGCCCCUUAUGAUCUGGGCUACAAACGUGAUACAAUGGCUGUGACAAAGAGUAGCUGAAACGCGAGUUUUUAGCCAAUCUCAAAAAAGCAGUCUCAGUUCGGAUUGA